UGAAGAUGGAAAUCAAUGACUUAGAAACCAAUUAAACAAUCCAAAUAGCAACUGAUAAAUGGAUUAACCCUCUAUAAUGAAAUUCCUCUAGCUUUUGUCUUCCGCCUUCCCCAGGUAGGUUUUCUAUUCCUGGAGGCAAAGCAGAGGCAUGGAGGAAGUGGAGGCCAGAGGGAAUCACAUUAAAGUGGGUGAAUCUGUUUAUCACUUACUGUCUGGAUGGUAUUUCUGCUCACAUCUCUGCUUCCUUUUUCAGAUUUGUACUGUAUGGGACCCUGAUUAACGUUAGCCAGUGAAUAAUGAAAGGCAGCAGCAGACACUGGGUCUGCCCAGAAAGGACCGGAUGGAACAGUCAUUCCCAAUAACUACUGUGACUUCUGCUUGGGGGGCUCCAACAUGAACAAGAAGAGUGGGCGGCCUGAAGAGCUGGUGUCCUGCGCAGACUGUGGACGCUCUGCUCAUUUGGGAGGAGAAGGCAGGAAGGA
rnacentral:sRNA from 1 species